CCAUAUAAAUUGCAACAUUGGUGCAUAUGUCAGAAAAUGGUAGAAUUGCCGGAUUUGUCAUCUGCCGAAAAAUAAAAUAAAUCGUCUUAAACUGGAAUUUUUGUUGUCAAGUUUAUAAGGAUGCAACUGUAAACCUUUCGGUAUGGCACAGAAUUUACAGAAAAAGCCCUCAAAGGGUAUAUUAAAGACCUCAAGAAGCGUAGACGGGCAAGACGGAACACCUUCUACGAGUAAGAGAGCGAAAGAGCAGAGGUUUGACGAAAUGAACAUUAUGGAGACGUUUCAUCCUGCCGACAAAGAUUACGGCCACAUGAAAGUCGACGAGCCUAAAACUCCUUUCUCAGAAGCGAUAGACGGCGACUUGGAGCCGGCGGACGAGUUGGACGCAAACAUAUUGGCGGCAAAACUCGCAGCGAGCAUGAACAAGCCGCCCAAGUGCGUGGAGCCUUGCGACAGCGACGAGGAAAUGGAUGAGCCCGAGGAUGUGCGGCAGCGGCGCCUCGAGUUUGAAAAGAAACGCAAAAUGCACUACAAUGAAUUUCAGGCAUUACAGCUGGCGCGGAAGCUGAUGGCGCAGGAGGAGGAAGAGGAGGACGAAGAGAAGGAGACCCGCUCCGCCACCUGACUGCAGCCCCCCAGCGCUGCCCCUCGCUGUACAUAACACGGACCAUCUCAAGCUGGAUUUCGUCAAACAUUAGUUCCAGCUUUCGCAGACAAUAUAUCAGAUAUAAGUUGGUACUUAUUGCCAUAGGCGUUGUGUUCCUGAACUUGGCUGUAAGAAAAUCUAUGUGCGUGCGUUAGAUUAUAUGUGACGGAGAUAUCCGUGAUUUAUAUGAAAAAUUUGCAUUUUUAUUUGUACAAGCGUGAUGAACAAUCGCUCGCAGAAUGUUCAGUGAAACGCUUACAUAUAUAAUAAGGGAAUUUACAAUUCAUUAGUUCGUAACGUAACGCUGUUUCGAUUUAACUUCUUUGUUACUUAUGUGGAAUACAAAAUGCAAUAAUUUAAGUUCAUAUUUAAUUCGAGGGCGCUAUCGACCGAUUCAAACUGAUUUAAUUUAUUUGACGUCUCGAGUAAAUCGCGAGCUCCGCUAGUUACAUGUAAACACUCUCAUACGAUGUCAUAUGUAUGAAAUUUCGCGUCCGCGACCGCGUCUUAGAUAUGAACAAGCGUUAUUCUUGCAUCAUUUAGGUAAACUUGAUUCACAUAGAUUUAUCAACACUUUCAGUACGCAAUAGCGCUUACAAAUUUAAUAAGAUUUUUUAUAAAAUGUACUAUAAUAUAGGGCAGGGUAAUCAAUGCUGCUCGAUGAAAUGCUUAACUUAUAGUUUGUAGUAUGAGCGGGAUAUGAAUUAGUCCUGGACGACCGACGGCAAAGUCGACCAGCUCAUGUAGACCUCCAUGAAAAUUGAACUGAAGUUAUGUAUAAGGUUGUUAGAGUUUUGGUAUCAGUUUUAUCGUGAUUCUAAGGCUUUGUUUACAACAAACUUAUUAUUAGCCACUCACAAUUAGCUGCAAUGCUAAUUAAUUUUUGGUUGAGUAUGCGACUUCAGGACAAAAGUCGUAGUCGCAGACUCUUGGUCUCACAAUCAACUAGAUAUGAGACAGCGACUGACGAUUCGUUUCGUAUGAAAGCACCCUUAUGGAGGUCAACAUCUAGCGGUGUAUAAAAAAUAACAGUGAAAAGAAAUAUAAAUUUACUCGUGUGGAGCCCCAAUUAAUUGACUGUUGAAACUAGUCGAUAAUUCGUAAUUUACAUGUUUUUCCAUUUGUUUUCUUUUAAAAUUCUAGGUAUAGAUGUUUUAAAUGUAGUUGGCCUUAAAGUGAAAAUUAAGAUGCAAGCAACUUUGCAUGGAUUCAACAAAUCCUUGUUAACUAACGCAAUGCUCCUAAGUAUAGAAUCCGUUAAGAAAUCAACUGAUUAUAAUUAUUUUUUUGGUACGUUGAUGCAAAUAGAAAUGAGUAAUUUGAUAAAAAAGAAAUCAUAGACAUUUAACAAAAACCUCAGAGAACGUUAAAAAGUCGUGAAAUAUUUUAUUUUUAUUGUGCCAAAUUGAGCAAAAUUCUAAAUCUCCAAAUAAAAUUGUAUUGAA